rnacentral:rRNA from 1 species
GUUUUUCGCUUGAGGAUGAGCCCAUACGGGAUUAGCUAGUUGGUGAGGUAAUGGCUCACCAAGGCUACGAUCCCUAACUGGUCUUAGAGGAUGAUCAGUCACACUGGAACUGAGACACGGUCCAGACUCCUACGGGAGGCAGCAGUAGGGAAUAUUGCGCAAUGGAGGAAACUCUGACGCAGCGACGCCGCGUGAGUGAUGAAGGCCUUCGGGUCGUAAAGCUCUGUCGCAGGGGAAUAACACAAUG